GAUGAACGCUGGCGGCGUGCCUAAUACAUGCAAGUCGAGCGAACAGACGAGGAGCUUGCUCCUCUGACGUUAGCGGCGGACGGGUGAGUAACACGUGGAUAACCUACCUAUAAGACUGGGAUAACUUCGGGAAACCGGAGCUAAUACCGGAUAAUAUAUUGAACCGCAUGGUUCAAUAGUGAAAGACGGUUUUGCUGUCACUUAUAGAUGGAUCCGCGCCGCAUUAGCUAGUUGGUAAGGUAACGGCUUACCAAGGCAACGAUGCGUAGCCGACCUGAGAGGGUGAUCGGCCACACUGGAACUGAGACACGGUCCAGACUCCUACGGGAGGCAGCAGUAGGAAAUCUUCCGCAAUGGGCGAAAGCCUGACGGAGCAACGCCGCGUGAGUGAUGAAGGUCUUCGGAUCGUAAAACUCUGUUAUUAGGGAAGAACAAAUGUGUAAGUAACUAUGCACGUCUUGACGGUACCUGAUCAGAAAGCCACGGCUAACUACGUG
rnacentral:rRNA from 1 species